GUCGAACGAGACCUUCGGGUCUAGUGGCGCACGGGUGCGUAACGCGUGGGAAUCUGCCCUUGGGUUCAGAAUAACAGUGAGAAAUUACUGCUAAUACCGGAUGAUGUCGAAAGACCAAAGAUUUAUCGCCCAGGGAUGAGCCCGCGUAGGAUUAGCUAGUUGGUGAGGUAAAAGCUCACCAAGGCGACGAUCCUUAGCUGGUCUGAGAGGAUGAUCAGCCACACUGGGACUGAGACACGGCCCAGACUCCUACGGGAGGCAGCAGUGGGGAAUAUUGGACAAUGGGCGAAAGCCUGAUCCAGCAAUGCCGCGUGAGUGAUGAAGGCCUUAGGGUUGUAAAGCUCUUUUACCCGGGNUGAUAAUG
rnacentral:rRNA from 1 species